GAACGAGAAAGCCCGCAAGGGUGAGUAAAGUGGCGACCGGGUGAGUAACACGUAGCUAACCUAUCCUCGAGUGGGGGAUAACCUGGGGAAACCUGGGCUAAUACCGCAGAUAGAUCCUGGCGACGUAGGUCGCUGGGAGCAAAGGCCCGCAAGGGUCGCUGGAGGAGGGGGCUGCGGCCGAUUAGCUAGUUGGUGAGGUAACGGCCCACCAAGGCGAUGAUCGGUAGCCGGCCUGAGAGGGCGCACGGCCACACUGGCACUGAAACACGGGCCAGACUCCUACGGGAGGCAGCAGUGGGGAAUUUUGCACAAUGCCCGAAAGGGUGAUGCAGCAACGCCGCGUGAGGGAUGAAGGCCUUCGGGUCGUAAACCUCUUUCGAUCGGGAAAAACGGCCCUGUGAAGAGCGGGGUCUGAUGGUACCGGAAGAAGAAGCCCCGGCCAACUACGUG
rnacentral:rRNA from 1 species